rnacentral:rRNA from 1 species
GAUGAACGCUGGCUGUGUGGAUAAGGCAUGCAAGUCGAAUGAGUUUAUACUCAUGGCGAACGAGGUAGUAACACGUAGGAUUACAUGCCCUUGGGUCGAGGAUAAUCUGGAGAAAUCCAGGAUAAUACUCGAUGGUCUCGUAAGAGUAAAGAUUUAUCGCCCAAGGAUUGGCCUGCGGAGUAUCAGCUUGUUGGUAGUGUAAUGGACUACCAAGGCUACGACGCUUAGGGGAGGUGAGAGCCUGACCCCCACCGAUGGAACUGAGACACGGUCCAU